rnacentral:rRNA from 1 species
GACGAACGCUGGCGGCGUGCUUAACACAUGCAAGUCGAACGAGGUCCAAGGUGUAGCAAUACAUCUGAAGACCUAGUGGCGAACGGGUGCGUAACACGUGAGGAACUUGUCCCGGUCUCUGGGAUAACAGUUGGAAACGACUGCUAAUACCGGAUGACGUCGGAGCAUCGCAUGGUGCGCUGACGAAAGGGUUACUGGAUCGGGAGAGCCUCGCGGCCUANCAGCUUGUUGGUGGGGUAACGGCCCACCAAGGCAUCGACGGGUAGCUGGUCUGAGAGGAUGAUCAGCCACACUGGGACUGAGACACGGCCCAGACUCCUACGGGAGGCAGCAGUGGGGAAUCUUGCGCAAUGGGCGAAAGCCUGACGCAGCAACGCCGCGUGCGGGAUGAAGGCUCUCGGGUUGUAAACCGCUUUCAG